CGACCGGUAGAAGUCCUUCGGGACUUUGAGAGCGGCGUACGGGUGCGUAACACGUGUGCAACCUACCUUUAUCUGGGGAAUAGCCUUUCGAAAGGAAGAUUAACACCCCAUAAUAUAAUGAUUGGCAUCAAUUAUUAUUGAAAACUCCGGUGGAUAGAGAUGGGCACGCGCAAGAUUAGAUAGUUGGUGAGGUAACGGCUCACCAAGUCUGUGAUCUUUAGGGGUCCUGAGAGGGAGAUCCCCCACACUGGUACUGAGACACGGACCAGACUCCUACGGGAGGCAGCAGUGAGGAAUAUUGGACAAUGGGUGAAAGCCUGAUCCAGCCAUCCCGCGUGAAGGAUGACGGUCCUAUGGAUUGUAAACUUCUUUUGUACAGGAAUAAACCUACUCUCGUGAGAGUAGCUGAAGGUACUGUACGAAUAAGCACCGGCUAAUUCCGUGCCAGCAGCCGCGGUAAUACGGAGGGUGCAAGCGUUAUCCGGAUUUAUUGGGUUUAAAGGGUCCGUAGGCGGGCCUGUAAGUCAGUGGUGAAAUCUCAUAGCUUAACUAUGAAACUGCCAUUGAUACUGCAGGUCUUGAGUAAAUUUGAAGUGGCUGGAAUAAGUAGUGUAGCGGUGAAAUGCAUAGAUAUUACUUAGGACACCAAUUGCGAAGGCAGGUCACUAAGAUUUAACUGACGCUGAUGGACGAAAGCGUGGGUAGCGAACAGGAUUAGAUACCCUGGUAGUCCACGCCGUAAACGAUGCUAACUCGUUUUUGGAUCUUCGGAUUCAGAGACCAAGCGAAAGUGAUAAGUUAGCCACCUGGGGAGUACGUUCGCAAGAAUGAAACUCAAAGGAAUUGACGGGGGCCCGCACAAGCGGUGGAUUAUGUGGUUUAAUUCGAUGAUACGCGAGGAACCUUACCAAGACUUAAAUGGGAAAUGACAGGUUUGGAAACAGACCCUUCUUCGGACAUUUUUCAAGGUGCUGCAUGGUUGUCAUCAGCUCGUGCCGUGAGGUGUCAGGUUAAGUCCUGCAACGAGCGCAA
rnacentral:rRNA from 1 species